rnacentral:lncRNA from 1 species
CGUGAUUCAAACUCAUACCUUUCUCGGCCUUUUGGCUAAGAUCAAGUGUAGUUUCUGUUCUUAUCAGUUUAAUAUCUGAUACGUGGGCCAUGUGCCCACCUUGAUAUUAAAUUAAUUUUUUGUGGGAGAGGGCCCACCCACGGUAGCUUGCUACCGGGGCCCUCGUGUGUUGCCCUUGCGUUGCACUACUGCUCGGGCUUGGCGCAUCCCUACUAAGUCUAAAUGCUCAAAUGCUUUUAAUUUAUUAAUUAUUUGCUUAUUGUUCUUGCGUAGCGUGAAAGUUUUCUUCAAAAUAUAUUUUUUCGUACAAUUGUGGAGUGGGCUAUUUUAUGAAUCUGAAUGGAAAAACUAUUUACACGCAAGAUCAAAACUAUGGCGAUAAUUCAUUUUCCUCUCUACUUCCUCUCAAUAAUGUGUGAAACAGUUGGGCAAUGACAUAAUAGCAAGUUAUGGGCUAAGAGGUAUAGUGAUGCAAACGGGGCUGACUUAGGGGCGGGAGUCCCCUCUCGCGUCCCGUUCCGAGUAUCAAAAUCGCACCUGCCGUCCACCCGGAAUAUAUGAUGGGUUAAGAAAUAUAUAUCUCAUAAUCCGUUUCGCCUCACAAUCCAUUUUCUGCCGGUGCUCCAAAUCCUCCCCGUCAAUUUUUUUUUUAAAAAAAAUUAUAAUAUUAUUAAUAUUUUAUAAAAUAUAAAUUAAUAUUUUUUUACUAAUAAUGAAUAAUGUUACUAAGUUAUGUAUAUAAUAUUAAUAACAUCAAUUAUAAAAAGCAAAAUUCAAAAGUUUUAAACACAUGAGAAAUGAGAGCACCAAUUUAUUUGUAUUUUGGACUUUUUUUGUAAAUAUAUUAUAUUUUAGAAAUAUUCUUUAAAAUAUAAAUAAUUUUUGGUGUGCAUUCCAAGUGAAUCAUGGUAGGGCAGAUUCAAGACGGAGCAAAAUUUUUUUCGUUUCCUGCCCCGAAUCCGUUUCGGACCAUAAAUAUUACUCUAUUUUCUGUCUCGAAUCCGUUUAUUUAUUUCUAUUUACUGCCCAAUUUGGGACGGACGUUCUACCAACCGGGAUCCGUUUGCAUCGCCAAUAGAGUGGAGAGCUGGUAGUAACACUUAGGAAAACCUUAAUGCAACCAAACAACCUUAAAUGAACCCAAGGACACAUUUCAUUCGUUACGGUAAUAUAAUAUUAGAUUACAACAUAUGUAGGAUUACUAAAGUUGGUUCAAUUUAAAAUUCAGUAAUCAUGACAAUAAAGUGUAUUCUAUUCAAAUUAUCAUUUAUGAUCAUAUUUAAUAUUAUUUUUUAAUAAACUUAAAUUAAUAUAAUUUGUAUUUAAUUAAUUUUAUUAAUAAGCAAUAUAAGACAUAAAUAAAAAAAACUGCACAUGAAAACAAUUUAUAAAGCCAAAUUGGUUAUAACCCAUAGAAGAAUAAAUAAAAAAUAAUCAUAUUACAUAAUAAUAUGAUCAUACAAGAACAAGUAGUACAUUUUAAUUUAAAAUUUUAUUUAUAAGCAAUAUAAUUAACCAAAUAUCCUAAGAAAUGUCUCUUCAGCCCCAGCUUAUUAAAAGACCCAUUUUUCUUAAGAAAUCCACCCCAUGUACAAAAGCCCACCAUUUCAAUCUGAUCUGAAUUUUAUUGUUUCUCGUCUCGGGUAGUGCCGAAAUCCGAAUUUUAUCAACUUUUUGACCCCAAUUCCUCAAAUUAGGAUGAGGGUCUUCUUUAUAUAUCUUUGGAUUUGGCCAUUUGGGCAAAAUUUAUUGUUUUUUGCGUUCUCUUGGGCGUUUUUUCAAACACCUGAUGUGCAAGAUCUGAUGUUUUGAUGGAAUUUAAUAAUUUAGGAAUGUAAUGUGAGUCGUGCUGUGCCCCGAACGGAUUCAGCCUAGGGUUGGCUUGGCCUGGCCUGACCAGGUUACAAAUCCGACCGACCCGUGCCGGCCCGUUUUCUCAGAGUAGAAGGCCUAGCCCGGCCGCUUGGCCUGCCCGGCACGUGCUGUGCCGGGCCAGGCCGGGCUUCGUGCCAGCCUAGUAAAAGGCAUUUUUUUUUAUUUCUUCCCAACCGUCUUUUGUUAAUUUUUUUAAAAUUUUCUUUUUUAGAAAAAGAGAUAACUAAUUUUUAAAUUAUACGUUCUUGACUUUUUUUUUUUUUAUUUACACAAUUAUACCCAACUUUUUUUAAACUCUUGUAACAAUUUUAUAAAUUUUUAAAAAAGCUAAAAUACUAACCAUAAAUUUAACUUUUUAAUAUCAUUAAUUUUUAAUAUUAUAUAAAAUUUAAAACACAGAGAUCAAUAAUUUUAACUUUUCAAUUAUAUUAGAUGUUUUAAUAUAAAUUUUUUAACUUCGGUUUCGUUUGGGAUUGUAGGAAGAUUGUGCUAUGUGCAGUGAGAAAGUACGAUAGAAAAAUGUCCUAUUUAUUACUAUACGUAAUAUUGCGUUCCGCAAAUCGCGAUGAGUCGGUUAUGACAUAUUUUCUGCGGUUCCAUCGGAGAACGCAGAAACAUAUCCUUGUAUACUUUUAUCCCAACUCUAUUUGAUCUAAUAGAUUCAGAUGAGCCUCAAUACCAAACUAAGCAUUACAUUUUUUUUGAUCCAAUAACCAACUUUAAUAAUCAACCGUAACUUUAAUAAUCAAUCGUUCCUAGCACAAGUGGCAAAGGACUUGGUGGUUGGUAGCCGAGGUCCCAAGUUCGAAUCUUAGUUGAUCCACAUUUCCAGCUAAAUUUAUUUUUAAAUAAAAAGAACGAAGCGGGUAGCAUGCUUUCUAUCUCUCUCUCAAAAAAAAAAAACUUUAAUAUAAGAUUAAAUAUUGUGUUGAGAAUGAAAUUUUUGUAAAAAAAGAAUGUUGUUGAAAAGAUUAAAAAAAUUUGUAAAGUAAACUUGAGAUGGAAAAAAAAAUUAGCUAGAAAGUUUGAGAGUAGGAAGAAUUAUUGUUUGUAGAAAAAAAUGAAUGAAUAUUUGUUUGUUGUAAUAAAAUUUAGAAAUUUGUAAAAGUAUUUAUAGAUGUAAAAAAAAUUUAAAUUUUUUUAAAAAAUAAAAAAUAUUUUUAAUCAAAAUGCCUUAUCCAACAGUCAAAUUUUAGAAUGUUAGUGAGGGCAUUGUGGUCAUUUUGACCAAAAAGAUGUCUUUUUUAAUAUUUUUACCCUCUAUGGGCCUGUUUGUUUUAACGGAAGUGGGGUGGAAGUGGGAAAGGGGAAGUGAUAUUCGGUGAAAACAGACCACUUCCGCUGUUUGGUUCACCGUAAUUUUAUUAUCCCCGAAAAUCUAGUUCACCCAAAAUAAAAAAAAUUGACUUCACCCUCCAUGGGGCGAAGUCAAUUUCGGUGAGGUGAAAAGAGGCAAGAGUAGGAAUUAAUGUGUUAGGGCUACCCUCUUCUCUACCCUUUCCUCUCCCGAGUCCCGACCCAACUCCACAUCGUCAUUUUUUUUUUUUCUCAGUAGACACCACAAAAGAAAAUUUGAUCUUGUCUAAAAUAUGAUCAAAUUUGGUUAGGAAAAUUUUAAUAUAUUUUUUGUUUAAUUUGUAUAUUUAGAAAAUGAAGAAAAAUGAAUUUGUUAGAUGUUAAUAAUUUUUUAACUUUAGAAUUUUAUUUGUUGCAUUAUUAUAAUUUAUAUGCAAACAAAUAAUAUAAUUUUUAAAAAUUUUAUUUUAUAAUUAUACAUAUAUAUAUAAUUAUAUACAUAUCUAAUUAUAUUAAUUUUUAUUUAUUAUAAUUUAUUAUUCACUAAGUUACAAAAUAGCCAAUGAUAUCACUUCGGAGGUAGGUAUACCGGAGGUGGAGAGCUAUACUUUUUACGUCAUCUACUUCUUAUCAAACAAACAACAGAACUCGCAGAACUGCACUUCCACAAUUAGAAACAAACAGCAGAAGUGAAUUAAUUUUCAUCCCAACUCCAUUUCAACCCAAAGUCCACUUCCACCCCAAAUUUACUUACGUUGAAACAAACAUGCCCUAUAUAUAUAUAUAUAUAUAUAUAUAUAUAUAUAUAUAUAUAUAUAUAUAUAUAUAUAUAUAUAUAUAGAGAGAGAGAGAGAGAGAGAGAGAGAGUUCGGCUAGGAUAUUAUCGAUAGCAUCAAGCGUUUGGUGCUAUCAAGUUUUCCACCGUUAGAUUUAACCCUUUGACUAUUUUCACCAUUUAGAUUAUACUAUUAAAUCAAUAACUCACUCAACCCCAGGGGGCCCACAUCAUCUUAACCGUUCAUUUUUUCAUCCAAGAGCCAAAAACCUAUUUACACAAAGCUCUUGGUGCUAUUAAUAGUAUACCAGCCUAGGUCUACAUAUAUAUGCUGGGGCUACUAUACUCUUAUGAGUAUAAAACCCCUUGUACUAAUAAAUUUUUAACCGUUGAUUGAUGGGUUGUGUGGUUAGGAUGAUGGUGGUCCCCACUUAGAAUGAUAGUGGUCCCCUAGGGUUGAGUGGGUAGUUGGUUGAAUAAUAUGAUCUAACGGGUGGAAAUGAUCAUAGAAUAAAUCUAAGGGACAAAAACUUAUGAGUAUAAGGGAGCUCAUACUCAUAAAAGUAUAGUAGCCGGACUCUAUAUAUAUAUAGCAUAGUAACCAUGCUAUGCGACGAAUAGAUAAUUGGAGAAAAUAUAGAAAAUAUCGAUAAAAAAAGAGAAAACGACGAUAAAAAAAGCGAUGAUGAGGGGUGUGAUUCAUCAUGUCGAUGAAUGAAAAUAACAGCCGAAGGAAAAGUAAGAGAAAGGACUUGAGCUGGUUCGGUGUGGAGUCCACACUCAACCAUGAAGGAAAAGUUGCCACAUGCCAACUUUAGGAGAAAUAAUGUAUAAUAAAGUAUAUAUACAGAGAGAGAGAGAGAGAGAGAGAGAGAGAGAGAGAGAGAGAGAGAGAGAGAGAGAGAGAGUUGAGUUGGAAUNUACAGAGAGAGAGAGAGAGAGAGAGAGAGAGAGAGAGAGAGAGAGAGAGAGAGAGAAAGAGAGUUGAGUUGGAAUGCUACUAAUAGCAAAAGGACUCCAUUGCCACCCAUUUGUUUUCGAUGAUGGAGCCUCUAAAUCGAUGAUCGACACUGUUGAACAUCAUCUAUGCCACUUGAAACAUCUAAAAACCAAAUUUCAUGUUUUUUCGAUAUCACUUUUUUGUCUAUCAAGUGGAGGCCUCUGUGCUACCAAAUUAUUUUCGAUAAUGCAGCUUCCAAAUCGACGAUCGGCUCUGUUAGACUUGAUCUACACUAUUGAAAGUUUUUGAAAACUAAAUUUCAAAUUUUUUCGACAUUAUUUGACUAGUGAUCAAAAGAUCUCAAAAUUGACAAUUUUAAUGGCCGAUGUGGUGUGUUUGUGAGUUUAACGGUNCCAAAUUGACGAUCGGCUCCGUUAGACUUGAUCUACACUAUUAAUAGUAUUUGGAAACUAAAUUUCAUAAUUUUUCGACAUCAUUUGGCUAGUGAUCAAAAGUCUCAAAAUUGAUAAUUUUAAUGGUAGAUUUGAUGCGUUUGUGAAUUUAAUGGUAUAAAAUAAUUCAAAUCUGAUAAAAUUUUUGUAGAAAAUUCUUUUCACUAUUUAGAGUAAGAUCAGUAACUCUUGUCACGCCCCGAGCUCUGCCAAUUUGGUCGGAUUCGGGCACGUCGGCAGACCGCCGAACGGACAGAGCUUCCCCUGUACGUUUUAGGCGUAACAAUCUAAAUAAUGCAAUACGCGAGGUUCCAACCAGGAACAGUAGCAAAUAUAUAGAUUGCAGAAGUACCAAAAACAUAAAAUGACAACUAUACUAUUACAAGCAUUCAUCUCAAGAUUUUACAUUUACAUAACCACAUAUACCUUUAAAUUAUUACAACUUAUACAAAUUUGAUACAAGUUUGUUUCUUUCAUACUUAUACUCUGAGCUAGACUGCUUCUGGGUACUGCUAUCUCUGGUCUCGGUGGUAGGGCGCUAUCUAUGAAGCUACGCCCUGUCCUCGCGCCGUCGCGCCGCUCACGUACAACCUGUACCCCCAAAACAAUAUGGGGGUGAGAACUAUAUAAAUAUAGUUCCCAGUGGGUACGGCCACCCAAGAGAAGAGCUCGACCCACCAGGUCCAAAGGAGGCAACAGUAGGUUAGUUCAACAAAUAGAUAGAUAGAUAUUUGACUAACCAACAAAUAAAACCAUACCUUGCCUCGCUGCUAUGCAAUAUGCAAUACCUGUAAAUCAUGUAAGUAGAUUACUUGAUUCUACUUUAUAUCAUUAACCAUUCUUUACUUGUAGCCGUUCUCUUCUUUCUUAGUUGUUCUCGUUCAUUAGCUAUUUUCUUUUUUAUUUACUCUUUGUCAAAUUAUGCUCACUGGCGAUUCUUUCCUAAGGUUAUAUUACCUUAGCCAUCUAUGCCACUCGACUCGGUCUUGAGUCAAUCAUCCGCGGAGUACCGCGUCAGGUCAGACUCGAGGUGAAGGACGUCUCACAAACACCUCAGCCUUAAGUCCACGCGACACUAGGUCCAUUACAGGGAGAGGAGAACCGUCGAUCCCCGUGACCCUAAGUCGCUCAAGCUUAACGGGCGAGGAGAACCGUCAAACCCGUUAGCUCAUACCGGGAGAGGAGAACCGUCGAUCCCGUUGAAUCACUACCGGGAGAGGAGAACCGUCGAUCCCGUAGUUCCGAUUCACUUGUUUCAUGGCAUACCGGGAGAGGAGAACCGUCGAUCCCGUUGAAUCACUACCGGGAGAGGAGAACCGUCGAUCCCGUAGUUAUGAUUCUACUCUUGCCAUCACACCAUUCCUAGGGAUUCCGGAACCCACUUUCACAACUUAAGGGUUUACUCUUUUACCCUAUGUCGACGACUUUUCUAGGUCUAUACUAUUCACUUUCUAGUGGUCCUAUUGCCAGUACUAUAAUUCAUAACUUAGUUUACUUUUACUGAGUGUUUCUUUACAUCAUAACCUAGGUUCAUUUACACUAGGUUUCAUGUUCCUUCACCUAGAUUUCGACUCUAGGUUUACUAAUUCGAUCUAUAUUCAAUGACACUAGGUUCAUUUCAUAUCCAACCUAUGUUUUAAGAACACUAGGUUCAUUUCAUGUCCAACCUAUGUUUAAUAACACUAGGUUCAUGCCACUCGAUCUAUACAACGUCUAACCUAGGUUUAAUAACUUAGGUUUCAUGCCACUCGAUCUAUUCAUUAUCCUAGUUAUCCACGCCUAGAAUUAUAAUUUGCACAUUUUCAUUUACUUGGUUACCGUCCAGAUUUCUACUCAAUUGGAGUUGUCGAUUUAUACCCAAUUCUUAGAGAUUUAACAUGAGGUUCAUAGUUUACAUAUUCUCACUUAUCUUGUUACCAUCGAGGUUUCUAAGCAACUAAAAUUAUCGACAUUCAUAUAGCUUGAACUAUAGUACAUUCACUUUCAUAUAUGUUUAGACAUAGGCAUUAAACUUUCACUUUUAUGUGGCAACAUUUAUGUAGGCUUUAGCUUCUAUGUUCACAAUUCAUAUUCAGCUUACGUGCCCUUGGCAUUUAUAGGUUUACCAUUCAUAUAUCAUGUAUUUGAACAUAUGAAUUUAGCAUAACUAUGCAUCUAGUUUUCACGUUCAUAUAUCGACAAUUAUAUGUAUCUAGCAUGAUCUACAACAUAUUCAUAUGCCUCUAGCAUGUUUACCAUUAUACAUCAUCUAGCAUUAACCAUAAUGUAUUCAUAUGUCAUUAAUCAUAUAUGCCUACGCAUAUGCAAUUAGCAUUAAUGUUCAUAUGUCGACAAUCAUAUUCAUAUAUGCGUCAAAUGAAACCAUAUUUUACUUUGGCAUGGAAGUGACCUAAUCACUUCGGUAAAGCACAACCCACCUUUAUUUGAUACCGGAAUGAGAGAAAUCCGUUUCUCGCACCUUUCCAAGAAUCGCGACCCGCGCUCGCGACAAUUGAUGCCGAAAACGUCUUUUUGGUGAUAUCUUCGCGUAGGCUCGACGGAUUGCCGAACCGACUUCACCAAUGCGUUUGUUUUACCCUCAAUUAGGUUUGUACGCGGUCAAUUUCACGUUAGGACUUCUAUCCUGCAAAAGUGCAUUAUCGGGGUCAGUUUCUAUAGAAACCUGUUUCUAUGAAAUUUCACAAUUGACAUAGAGUAAUUCAACUCUUUACUAGCCUAAGAACCUUAAACAAUUAGUUUAGAGGUCUCACAUCAAUCCCUAAUAAAGGAUUACAAAAAUCUGCCCAAAUAAUUCGAUUCCAUCUUUCUCUCUAUCUCAUUUUCUUUCUUUCAUUUUUCUUCUUAUUCUUUCUUGCUUUCUUUCUUUCUUUCUUUCUUUCUUGCUUUGUUUCUUUCUUUCCUUUCUUUCUUUCUUGCUUUCUUUCUUUCUUUCCUUUCUUUCUCUGCAGGGCAGCUGCUGCUGCUGCUCAGCAGCUCCUGCUGAGCUGCUGCUGCUCCUGCUGAAGCUGCUGCUGAGCUGCUGUUGUUGUUAUUACUGCUGCUGUUGCUGAGCUGAAGCUGCUACUGCUGCUCCUGCUACUGCUGCUGCGCAAGCUGCUGCUGCUGAGCUGAAGCUGCUGCUGCUGCUCCUGCUACUGCUGCUGCACAAGCUGUUGCUGCUGCUGAGCUACUAUUGCUGCUGCUGCUACAACUAGUAGCAGCAGGGAGAGAGAUGAGAGGGAGAGGUUAAACUCUUACCUCUUAUCUUCUUCUUUUUCUUCUUCUUCUUCUUCUUCUUCUUCUUCUCUUUUCUCUUCUUCUCUUUUCUCUUCUUUUCUCCUUCUCUCUCUCUACGUAUGAAGAAUGAGCUGAAGAGAGGAUAAGGAUGGCCCUGGCAGGUUAGUGGAAUUCCACUAAUAUGGUAAUAAUUACCAUAAUGCACCUCGACUAAUCCGUUUAGCAUCUCGGAUCAGAUACCUUUCGCAGGCCCUUCCAAAUAUCUGAUUGAGCUCAAAUUUGACAGGCAUGCUCGGUUUUACUUAACAAGUUCACUGAAAUUUUAACAUUUCAGUUUCGACCCCGUUUGGUCACUGCGAACUGUCCCGAUCUGUAAUCUUUAUCAGAUAACUUUCGGAUGCUAUUUCUCUCUCUACAGGUGGCAGAAUAAUAUGAAACUUCAAAUCUAGCCUCAUAAAACCAUUUCUGACAUCUCUGCCAAUUUUCAUAAUUUUCUGACACUGUGCAUUUUCUGCUAAUUUCUCAGUCCCAUGCUUUACAGAAAAUUCUAAAUCUUCCGUUUUCGCUCCGAUUUCAACACGAGCCAUUCCAGACUUAUACUUUACACCCUUAAGUCCAAUCAAAUGGUAUCUCACACCAUUUUAUGUUAUUUUGCUCACUUUAAUUCUUUUAAUUAAAGUUAGCAUCGGAAAUCCGAAAUUCUCUCUACAUUUCUUUUCGCACCCAAUUUGCGCCGAAAUACUUAUUUAUCUCCAGAAUUCAUUCACACGCAUCACAAAUCACUCGGGGAGGAUGUCCAACUAGCUCAAUCCUCACUUUGAUCUUCUAGAUCAAAGUUGACAUCGCAACUCCAAGUUUCAGUAUAUUACAACUCUAAUCUUAAAUUCAAAUCUUUUAUCAUUAGUUUUUAUAAGAUUUUUAUUUUUAGCCGUUUAUUUUUAGACUACUCGUUUGAUAGGUAAAUGAUGCCGAAAUAUUAUGAAAUUUAGUUUCCAAAUACUUUCAAUAAUGUAGAUCAAGUCUAAUAGAGCUGAUCGUCGAUUUGGAAGCCGCAUUAUUGAAAAUAACUUGGUAGCACGGAGGCCUCCGUACUACCGAUAGUAUACCAGUCUAGCUCUCUCUCUCUCUCUCUCUCUCUCUCUCUCUCUCUCUCUCUCUCUAUAUAUAUAUAUAUAUAGCAGGACUACUGUGCUCUUAGGAGCACGGAGGCCUCCGUGCUCCUGAGCCGUUUUCAGUGAUGGAAUUUCCGAAGCGACGAUCGGCUCCGUUAGACUUGAUCUAACGUAUUUGAAGUUUCUAGAAAAUAAUUUUUUCGAUUUUUCGAUAUCAUUUACCUAAUAAUCGAAAGGAUUCAAAAUCAAUAAUUUUUAACGGCCAAAAAUAAAAAUUCAAUAAAAAGUGGUGAUAUAGCACUAAAAUUUUCUAUCAGAAAUAUUGAUCUUGUUGUAGAUAGUAUAAAGAAUUUUGUAUCAAAAUUUCAUCUAAUUUGAAUACUUCUACACCGUCAAAUUUAAAAACGGCAGAUAUCAAACAUUAAAAAUUUAUUAAUUUUGAAUCCUUUCGAUCACUAGGUAAAUAAUAUAAAAAAAUCGCAAAAACUAUUUUCUAAAACCUUCAAAUACGCUAGAUCAAUUCUAAUGGAGCUGAUCGACGAUUCAAAAAUUCUAUUAUCGAAAACGGCUCAGGAGCAUGGAGGCCUCCAUGCUCCUGAGAGGACAGCAGCCCUACUCAUAUAUAUAUAUACCUAUAAUUAUAUUAUAUAUAGUAUAUAUAUAUAUAUAUAUAUAUAUAUAUAAUAUAUAUAGUAUAUAUAUUCUAUAUAUUAUAUAAGUCGCGCUACUAUACCUUAUAAUACGAUGCACUCACGUACCAUAAAUUGUUUUCGAAUGAUAGGCGUCCAAAUCGCGACGACCACUUCCGUAAAUGUUAUUCUAGAGCAUUUGAAUACUCUAAAAAAAUCAAAUUUCAUAAUUUUUCGACAUCAUUUACCUUACGAUCAAAAGCUCACAAAAUUGACAAUUUUUAACGACCGGUAUAGAAUACUUGCUAGUUUAACGGUGCAAAAGAAUCCGAAUAGGUUGAAUUUUUGAUAAAAAAUUCUAUUUACUACCUAGAUAAAGAUCAAUAACUCCGAUCUUAAAUUGAAGGAUCCGAUCAUCCAUUUUUAAGACAUCGUUCAAUUUCAACAGUUCAUUUUAUGCCCGCUUGAUGGACUUUAUUAUAAUUUCGAAAAAUUACAAAAUUUAUUUUUUAGAAGUUUCAAAUACUCUAGAUCAUAUUUAACGGAGUUAAUCGUCGAUUCGGAAGCUCUAUCAUCGAAAACAACUUAUCAGUACGAAGGGCCCAAUACUCAUAAUAGUAUAGUAGCCCUACUAUAUAUAUAUAUAGGGAAAACUUCAAGAAACCCCCCUGUGGUUUCAUAGUUUCUCACUUUGCCCCCUGUGGUUUAAAAUGUAUCAAAUUGCUCUCCUGUGAUUUUGUUUUUAUCUUUUCGUUAGCUUUUUCGUUAAUAUUUCUUUAAAUUAUAUACAAAAAACUCUAGAUACUCAUCUAGAUUUAUCAAAUAUUCACUUUAGUACCCUUUAAUUUUAACUUUAUCACUGAUUUAAGAAAAAAAUAAUGAAAUUGAUAAGAAAAAAAAAAAAAAAGAAACCACAGGGGGGCAAAUUGAUACAUUUUAAACCACAGGGGGACAAAGUGAGAAACUACGAAACCACAUGGAGGGUUUUUGAAGUUUUCCUAUAUAUAUAUAUAUAUAUAUAUAUAUCGCUAGGGCUACUUUACUCUUAUGAGUAUUAGCCCAUUUGUACUCAUAAGUUUUUCAUCAUUGGAAGAAGGGAUGUGCGGUUUUGGAUGACCCUAAGGUUGGCUGGGCGGUUGGUUGGUUGAAUAUUAUAAUCUAGCAGGUAGAAAUAGUAAAAAGGAUAAAUCUAACGGACUAAAACUUAUGAAUACAAAAGGAUCUUUACUUAUAAGAGUAUAGUAGCUGAACUCUCUCUCUCUCUAUAUAUAGUGAGAGUGAGAGUUUGGCUACUAUACUCUUAUGAGUACGAUCGCCUUCGUACUCAUAACUCGUUAUCAAUGAUAGAACUUUCGAAUCGACGAUUCAUGCCGUUAAACAUUAUACAGAGUAUUUAAAACUUUUAGUAAUUAAAUUUUAUAAUUUUUUAUCAUAAUUUACCUCACGAUCAAAAGAUCUCAAAAUUAAUAAUUUUUAACGGCCGGUAUGAGAUACUUGCUAUUUUAACAGUGUAAAAAAACCGAAAUCAAUUGAAUUUGUGAUAAAAAAUUCUAUUCACUAUCUAGAUAAAGAUCAAUAACUUCGAUCUUAUAUUGAAGGAUCCGAUCAUUCAUUUCUAAGACGCCGUUUCAUUUUGACCGAAAAAUGAAAUUUAGUUUGCAAAUACUUUCAAUAGUGUAGAUCAAGUCUAAUGGAGCCGAUCGUCGAUUCGGAAGCAGCAUCAUAGAAAACAACUUGGUAGGACGGAGGCGUCCGUGCUACCAAUAGUAUAGCAGCCUAGCUCUCUCUCUCUAUAUAUUUAAAUAUAUGAAAUUACGGAAUGAUAAGAUAUUUAAAAUUUCGUACUACUUCAAUUGAAUGUGGCUUAAAGAUUAGCACUAGAAGGGAAAUGAAAACGAAACGUUCGGUGUUGACGCAAAUAUCAUUAUUUUGUAAUAGAAUCAAGAGAUAGUUGAAAGAAGAAAAACAGCCGAAGAAUAAUUAAUUAAAUUCUCCAAGCUGUAUAUUAGUGCCCAGAACAGAGAUCUUGCCUGAACUUGGACUACCAGGUCGGCUGUGGACCGGAAGCCCAUCUAGCCUUCAUUCCAAAUUAUCAGUAUCCAGUAAAAAUUAUUAAACAAAAAUCAGAUUUUCUUUUUUUGAAGAUGAGAAUUGAAACCCGUAAUUUAAUAAACAUCAGCAUUUUGAAAUCAAAGUUUCCUUUUUUUUUUUGGAAGGUGUGGAUUGAAAAGAAAGACGCAACGAAGCGAUGUUUAUAAGGCGGUCCACCACUGACCUGGUGCACCAGGUGGACGCAACAAAAGCUCAAGCGAGGUACUUUAGCCCCAUAUCGACUGCAGCGAAGAACGGAAGAGGCAAGGAGAGUACAAGAAGAGGCCUCGUCCGUGAUUCAAACUCAUACCUUUCUCGGCCUUUUGGCUAAGAUCAAGUGUAGUAUCUGUUCUUAUCAGUUUAAUAUCUGAUAUGUGGGCCAUGCGCCCACCUCGAUAUUAAAUUAAUUUUUUGUGGGGGAGGGCCCAUCCACGGUAGCUUGCUACCGGGGCCUUCGCGCGUCGCCCUUGCGUUGCACUACUGUUUGGGCCUGGCGCACCCCUACCAAUUCUUAACAGCAAAAUGUUUUUAAUUUAUUACUUGCUUGCUGGGCUUGCGUACAAAGGAAGAAUGGUGAAAAUUAUUCUUCAAUUUUUUUUUUUUGUAUAAAUCUGGAAAGGCCCAUUUUUGGAAUCUGAAUAGAAAAAUUAUUUAUACACAAGAUCAAAACUAUAGCGAUAAUUCAUUUUCCUCUUAACUUCCUCUCGAUAAUGUGUGAAACAGUUGGCAAUGACAUAAUAAAAUAGUAAGAAAUAAAAAUACAGUCAGAGGCUACAAUAUUCAGAGAAUCGGAUUUAUAUGCAAACCUCCUAUGGUUGUCAAGUUACGGGCUAAGAGGUAUAGGUAGGAACGCAAAUGGGGCGGGUCCGGAGGCUGGAGUCCCCUCUCGCGUCUCUCAUGUCCCUUCCCAAGUAUCUCCCACCCCGAAUAUGUGAUGGGUUAAGAAAUAUAUCCCAUAAUUCGUUCCGCCUCAUAAUCCAUUUUCUAUCGGCGCUCCGAAUCUUCUCUGCCAAUUAAUAUUUUUUUAAAAAAAUUAUAAUAUUAUUAAUAUUUUAUAAAAUAUAAAUUAAUAUUUUUUUAAUAAUAAUUAUAAUAUUACUAAGUUAUGUAUAUAAUAUUAAUAAUAUCAAUUAUAAAAAGCAAAAUUCAAGUUUUAGACACAUGAGAAAUGAGAGCACCAACUUAUUUGUAUUUUGGACUUUUUUUGUAAAUAUAUUAUUUUUUAGGAAUAUUUUUAAAAUAUAAAUAAUUUUUGGAGUGGAUUCCGAGUGAAUCAUGGCACUGCAGAUUCGGGCCGGGGCAAAUUUUUUUUCGUUUCCUACCCCAAAUCUGUUUCGGACCAUAAAAAUUACUCCGUUUUCUGUCCCGAAUCCGUUUAUUUAUUUCUGUUUAUUGCCCCAUUCGGGAAGGAUCGGGACGGACGCUCUACCAACCAGGAUCUGUUUGCAUUGCCAAUAGAGCGGAGAGCUGGUAGUCACACUUAGGAAAACCAUAAUGCAACCAGACAACCUUAAAUGAACCCAGGACACUGUUGGUUCAAUACGGUAAUAUAAUAUUGGAUUAUAGUAUAUGUAGGAUUACUAGAGUUGGUUCGUUUUAAAAUUCGGUAAUCAAGACAAUAAAGUGUAUUUUAUUCCAAAAUUAUCAUUUAUGAUCAUAUUUAAUAUUAUUUUUUAAUAAACUUAAAUUAAUAUAAUUUGUACUUGAUUAAUUUUAUUAAUAAGCAAAUAUAAGUAGAGGUGGAACUGGGCCCGGGCCUAAACAAGGCCCGGCCCGAUGGGCCAUGUUUGGGCCGGACUUUGGGUAUUAAAAAUAUAACUUGUGGUUCGGGCCGGGUUUAAAAAUUUUGGCCCGAAAAAAUUUAGGCCUAUUUGGGCAUGUCCAAGCCCGGCCCGAGCCCGACCCAAAAGCCCAAUAUAUUAAUUAUCCAAAUAAAAUAUUUAAUUAUAUANGUUCGGGCCGGUCUUACAAAUUUUGGCCCGAAAAAAUUUUGGGCUUAUUUGGGCAUGUCCAAGCCCGGCCCGAGCCAGACCCAUAAGCCCGAUAUAUUAAUUAUCAAAAUAAAAUAUUUAUAUAUAUAUAUAUAUUAUUUAUCUAUUAAAAGAAAUAAAUGGUAUAGUAUAUCAUAUAUAGUAUAUAUUGUUAUUAAUGAUAUGUACUUAUAUAUAUGAGGAUAUAUUAUAUAUCAACAAAAUAUUUAGUUUUAUAUUAGGAUAUAUUUGUUAUUAGAUAUUAAUUUCUUUGAUGUGAUAAAACUAAAAAUAGGUAUUUUAUUUUAAUUUUAUACAAAUAAAAGUAUUUAUGUAUUAUAUGAUACAUGCAUAAAAUGGGCCUCCACAAAGCCCGCUGGGUAUUGGGCAUUGGGCUUGGGCUUAGGCCGGGCCAUCAUUUUCAAAAAAAUUAGGUAAACGCCCGACCCAAAGCCCAACAUUUUUAUUUGGGCCGGGUUUGGGCAUAGUAUUACCCUACCCAAAUCCGGCCCUGUUCCACCCCUAAAUAUAAGACAUAAAUAAAAAAACCGCACAUGAAAACAAUUUAUAAAGCCAAAUUGGUUUUAACCCAUAGAAGAAUAAAUUAAAAAAUAUCAUAUUACAUAAUAAUAUGAUCAUACAAGAACAAGUACAUUUUAGUUUAAAAAACUAAAAUUUUAUUUAUAAGCAAUAUCAUUAACCAAAUAUCUUAAGAAAAUCUCGCUCCAGCCCAGCUCAUUAAAAGACCCAUUUUUCUUAAAAGAUCCACCCCAUGUACAAAAGCCCACCAUUUCAAUCUGAUUCCUUUUAUUGUUUCUUGUCUCGGGUAGUGCCGAAUUCCCAUUUUUAUCAACUUUUUGACCCCAAUUCCUCAAACUAGGAUGAGGGCCUUCUUUAUAUAUAUAUANAGAUAUCCAAAUCAAUUGAAUUUUUAUUAGAAAAUUCUUUAAACUAUUGAAAACAAGAUCUAUACUCUUGAUCUUGAUUACAAGACUCCUAUCAUCAUUUUUUAAAAAAUAUUCAUUUUUAGCCGUUCAUUUUUAUGUCCACUCAAUGGAUAAGAGAACAAUAUCGAAAAUAUAUGAAAUUUGAUUUCUAAAUACUUCAAAUGGUAUAGAUCAUGUUCAACGAUGCCGAUCGUCGAUUUGGAGGCUCCAUUAUCGAAAAUAAAUGGGUGGCAAAAGUGCCAGUUUGCUAUCGAUAGUAUUCUAGCUCAACUCUAUAUAUAUAUAUAUAUAUAUUGAGAGAUUAGGUAGCACGCUACCCGCUUCGUUUAUUUUAUUUAGAAAUAAACUUAGCUAGAAAUAUGAAUCAACUAGGAUUUGAACUUGGAACCUCCAGUACCAACCACCAAGCUCUUUGCCACUUGCUCUAGGGACGGUCAGUAUGAGGGCCUUCUUUAUAGAUCUUUGGAUUUGGCGAUUUGGGCAAAAUUUGUUGUUUUUGUGUUCUCUUGGGUAUUUUUACAAACACCUAAUGUGCAAGGAUCUGCUGUUUUGAUGGAAUUUAAUAAUUUAGGGGUGUAAUGUGAGUCGUGCUGUGCCCCGUGCGGAUUCAGCCUAGGGUUGGCUCGGUUACAAAUCCUGGCCAACCCGUGCCAGCCCGCUUUCUCAGAGAAGAAGGCCUAGCCCGGCCGCUUGGACUGCCCGGCACGUGCUAUGCCGGGCCAAGCCGGGCUUCGUGCUAGCCCAGUAAAAAGUUUUUUUUUUAAUUUCUUCCCAACCGUCUUUUGUUAAAUUUUUUUUUAAUUUUUUUUUAGUAAAAAGAGAUAACUAAUUUUUAAAUUAUACCUUCUCGAUUUUUUUUUAUUUACACAAUUAUACCCAAAUUUUUUUUAAACUCUUGUAAUAAUUUUAUAAAUUUUAAAAAAAGCUAAAAUACUAACCAUAAAUUUAACAUUUUUAAUAUCAUUAAUUUUUAAUAUUAUAUAAAAUUUAAAACAUAGAGAUCAAUAAUUUUAACUUUUCAAAUAUAUUAGAUGUUUUAAUAUAAAUUUUUUAAAUUAGGUUUCGUUUAGGAUUGUGGGAAAAUUGUACUACAUGCGGUGAGAAAGUACGAUGAAAAAAUAUUCUAUUUGUUUCCGUGCGUAAUAUUGCAUUCUGCAUAUGGCAAUGAGUCGGUUAUGAUAUAUUUUUUGCGGCCCCACUAGAGAACGCAGAAGCAUAUUCUUAAAUGCUUUAUCCCGACUCAAUUUUAUCUAAUAAUAUUAUAUGGACUUUAAUACAAAACUAAGCCUUACAUUUCUGUGAUCCAAUAACCAACUUUAAUAUAAAAUUUUUAAUAUAAGAUUAAAUAUUUUGUUGAGAUUGAAACUUUUGUUAAAAAAAAAGUUGUUGAAAAGAUUAAAAAAAUUUGCAAAGCUAACUUGAGGAAAAAAAAUUUUAGAUUGAAAGUUUGAGAGUAGGAAGAAUUAGUGUUUGGGGAAGAAAUGAACGAAGAGUUGUUUGUUGAAAUGAAUUUGAAAAUUUGUAAAAGCAUUUAUAGAUGUAAAAAAAUUUUAAAUUUUUUUUAAAAAAUAGAAAAUAUUUUUGACCAAAAUGUCCUAUCUAACGGUCAAAAUUUUGAAUGCUAGUAAAGGCAUUAUGGUCAUUUUCAGCAAAAAGAUGUCUUUUUUAAUAUUUUUAUCUUUUUUUCAAAAAAAAAUAAUUUUCAUAUAUAUAUAUAUAUAGGCAGGACUGCUGUGCUCUCAGGAGCCGUUUUCGAUGAUGGAAUGUCCAAAUCGACGAUCAGCUCUGUUAGACUUGAUCUAACGUAUUUGAAGAUUCUAGAAAAUAAUUUUUUGCGAUUUUUCGAUAUCAUUUACUUAGCAAUCGAAAGGAUUCAAAAUCAAUAAUUUUUAACGGCUGAAAAUAAAAAUCCUAUAAAACGUGGUGAUAUAGCACUAAAAUUUUCGAUCAGAAAUAUUGAUCUUGUUAUAGAUAGUAUAAAGAAUUUUGUAUCAAAAUUUCAUCUGAUUUGAAUACUUUUACACCGUUAAACUUGAAAACGGUAGAUAUCAACCAUUAAAAAUUAUUGAUUUUGAAUCCUUUCGAUCACUAGGUAAAUGAUAUCAAAAAAUCGCAAAAAUUAUUUUCUAGAAUCUUCAAAUACGCUAGAUCAAGUCUAACGGAGCCGAUCGUCGAUUUGGAAAUUCCAUCAUCGAAAACGGCUCAGGAGCACAGCAGCCCUGCUAUAUAUAUAUAUAUAUAUAUAUAUAUAUAUAUAUAUAUAUAUAUAUAGAGAGAGAGAGAGAGAGAGAGAGAGAGAGAGAGAGAGGGAGAGAGAGAGUUGAGCCGGAAUGUUACCAAUAGCAAACUGGUUUUAUUGCCAUCCAUUUGUUUUCCAUAAUAGAGCCUCUAAAUCGAUGAUCGGCACCGUUGAACAUAAUCUAUACCACUUGAAGUAUUUAGAAAUUAAAUUUCAUAUUUUUCUGAUAUUAUUUUUUGUCCAUCAAGUGAACACAAAAAUGAAUGGCUGAAAUAAAUAUCUUUUAAAAAGUGAUGAUAGGAGUCUUCUAAUCAAGAUCAAGAAUAUAAAUCUUGUUCUAAAUAGUUUAAACAAUUUUCUAACCAAAAUUCAAUUAAUUUGGAUAUCUUUAUACCGUUAAAUGAGAAAACAUCUUAGAUCGACAACUAAAAUUAUAAAUUUUGAGACCUUUUAAUAAUCUGACCAAUAAUGUCGAAAAAAUUAGAAAUUUGGUUUCUAGAUUUUUUAAGUGGUAUAGACCAUAUUCAAUGGUACCGGUCGUCAAUUUGAAGGCUUCAUCAUCAAAAUAAAUAGAUAGCAACGGAACUCAUUUGUUACUAAUAGCAUUCAAGCUCAACUCUCUAUCUCUUUCUCUAUAUAUAUAUACUAGUUGUAAUGCACGUGCGAUGCACGUCAUAUUUAAUUAAAUUAAGUUUAUAUUUAUAUUUUAAAUUUAAAUAAUUAUUGGUGGUAUAUAUCUAUUUAUCAAUUAAAUUUUUUUUAACUUUAAUUUUUUUAAUGUGUAUCCAAAUUUAUAUAUAUGAAAAUUGGAUUUUUGAAAAUCUGAUUACUGUUAUUCAAAUUACUGUUAUUCAGUAAAAAUCAGUAUAUGAAAAUCGGAUUUUUUUUUUUUUUUCGAUGGUCAGGAUUGAAAACCGUAAUUCAGUAAGUAUCAUUGUUUUGAAACCAGGUUUUCUUUUUUUCUUUUUAAUAGAAGUGGAGAUUUAAAAAAGAAGGUACAAUGAAGUAGAUAUGGUUAAUAGGAGGGUGGUCCACUUUGACCUGGUGCACCAGGUCAAAGUAUGAAUUCAAGCCAGGUAUUUUAGUCCCAUAUCGACUGCAGCGAAGAACGGAAGAGGCAAGGAGAGUACAAGAGGAGGCCUCGGUGCGUGAUUUAAACUCAUACCUUUCUCGGCCUUUUGGCUAAGAUCAAGUGUAGUAUCUGUUCUUAUCAGUUUAAUAUCUGAUACGUGAGCCAUGUGCUCACCUCGAUAUUAAAUUAAUUUUUUGUGUGGGAGGGCCCAUCCACGGUAGCUUGCUACCGGGGCCCUCGCGCGUCGCCCUUGCGUUGCACUACUGCUCGGGCCUGGCGCACCCCUACCAAGUCUAAACGCUCAAAUAUUUUUAGUUCAUUCACUAAGCUUAAACAUUAUUUUUCAAAUAGUUUUUUUUGUAUAAAAAACAUAAUUUCUGUAGUUUUUUGUCUUUGCCUUUUUAUUAAUCUGAAUAGAACAACUACUUAGUUUUUCGUGAAUUUUUUUAAAACCAAACACUCUCUGAAAGCUUUUUUGAGUUUUGAGAUCUUUGCUAAGGAAUUGUUUGAUUUCUAAAAAAAUAUAUAAAAAAAAUUUAUUUAAAAAUAAUAUUUUUUUUAGAUUUCACUGUUCGGUUUCAAGAAAAACUUUCUUUUUUGAAAAUUUUUUAUAUUUCAUGUAAAAUUAGUAUUUUUAUUUUUCAAAAGAAAAUCAGAAAAUCAAAAAAAUUAUUUUCAUAAAGUUUAAUUUCUUAC